rnacentral:snoRNA from 1 species
ACACCCAAGACUACAAAUUCCAAUCAUGUGGUUUAUUCAAUAUGGUUGAGCCGAUGUCUUGGGAUAUUGUGAGAUCUUUCGAUCCUUCCUUCGCAUAAAAUGGUGUUGGGAGUUUGCACAAUUGAUCAACAU